GUGACUGCGUACCUUUUGUAUAAUGGGUCAGCGACUUAUAUUCUGUAGCAAGGUUAACCGAAUAGGGGAGCCGGAGGGAAACCGAGUCUUAAUUGGGCGUUAAGUUGCAGGGUAUAGACCCGAAACCCGGUGAUCUAGCCAUGGGCAGGUUGAAGGUUGGGUAACACUAACUGGAGGACCGAACCGACUAAUGUUGAAAAAUUAGCGGAUGACCUGUGGCUGGGGGUGAAAGGCCAAUCAAACCGGGAGAUAGCUGGUUCUCCCCGAAAGCUAUUUAGGUAGCGCCUCGUGAAUUCAUCUCCGGGGGUAGAGCACUGUUUCGGCUAGGGGGCCAUCCCGGCUUACCAACCCGAUGCAAACUGCGAAUACCGGAGAAUGUUAUCACGGGAGACACACGGCGGGUGCUAACGUCCGUCGUGAAGAGGGAAACAACCCAGACCGCCAGCUAAGGUCCCAAAGUCAUGGUUAAGUGGGAAACGAUGUGGGAAGGCCCAGACAGCCAGGAUGUUGGCUUAGAAGCAGCCAUCAUUUAAAGAAAGCGUAAUAGCUCACUGGUCGAGUCGGCCUGCGCGGAAGAUGUAACGGGGCUAAACCAUGCACCGAAGCUGCGGCAGCGACACUGUGUGUUGUUGGGUAGGGGAGCGUUCUGUAAGCCUGCGAAGGUGGCCUGUGAGGGUUGCUGGAGGUAUCAGAAGUGCGAAUGCUGACAUAAGUAACGAUAAAGCGGGUGAAAAGCCCGCUCGCCGGAAGACCAAGGGUUCCUGUCCAACGUUAAUCGGGGCAGGGUGAGUCGACCCCUAAGGCGAGGCCGAAAGGCGUAGUCGAUGGGAAACGGGUUAAUAUUCCCGUACUUGGUGUUACUGCGAAGGGGGGACGGAGAAGGCUAUGUUGGCCGGGCGACGGUUGUCCCGGUUUAAGCGUGUAGG
rnacentral:rRNA from 1 species